CCAAUAGCGUAUAUUAAAGUUGUUGCAGUUAAAAAGCUCGUAGUUGAAUUUCGGGAUUGACGUGAUGGUCGUGCCUUAAGGGGUAUGAACUGUUGCAGUCAAUUUCUCACCUUCUGGAGAAAUAUGAUGUUCUUAAUUGAGUGUCAUAUGGAACCAGGACCUUUACCUUGAAAAAAUUAGAGUGUUUAAAGCAAGCAUUAUUGCUAGAAUACAUUAGCAUGGAAUAAUAAAAUAGGACGGCAUGGUUCUAUUUUGUUGGUUUCUAGGAUCACCGUAAUGAUUAAUAGGGAUAGUUGGGGGCAUUAGUAUUCAAUUGUCAGAGGUGAAAUUCUUGGAUUUAUUGAAGACUAACUACUGCGAAAGCAUUUGCCAAGGAUGUUUUCAUUAAUCAAGAACGAAAGUUAGGGGAUCGAAGACGAUCAGAUACCGUCGUAGUCUUAACCAUAAACUAUGCCGACUAGGAAUCAGACGAUGUUAAUUUUUUAAUGACUCGUUUGGCACCUUACG
rnacentral:rRNA from 1 species